UGUUUUAUUGUUAGAUGUUUCGAGGAGGAAGUCAAGCAUUGAACCUUCAAGCUAGGUACGACCGACAACCCAAGUACUUGAAUGUUAUGUACAAGCACGUACACCCCAUUUUUGCAUUCCAGUUUAUUGAGAAAUUAUUUUGAAAAGGCACUUGUGUUGGAUCAAGUGUUUGGCAUUUAUUGUGAAAAAGGUGUGUGUGAAGAAUGGAGACAGAGAGAUUGAGAAGAGAAGAGAUUGAGAUAGGUUGUGGAUAAUGGAAUGGAUAAGAGAUGAUUGACGUUGGAUCAAGUAAUCACGUUACUUUUGUAAGUUUGAUUUGAAAAACACUUGACGUUGGAUCAAGUGUACUUUUGUCUUUUGAAAAACUUUGUUUUUAUCAUUUGGUUUUAUCUUUUUAGUGAGCAUGCAUGAGAAAUUAUAAAAGCAUAUAAACCUAAGACAUUACACUUGCAUGGGAUGAGGGGACAAGUGACCCAUAAUGGGGGGGAUGGAACCACACAUUACAAAGGGUAAGGAAUGAAAAUUAAACAAGUUACAAACCAAGUAACAUGCCUAAAACAAUAAAGUUUCAUGGUGUCCUCAAACAAUACAAGGCACAUGAAUGAUUAAAAGGAUAGUAUCUUAGAUCCAAACUUGAGAUCUCAAAGGUCAUGUAAACACACAAGCAAGUGGAGUUAAUAUGAAAUCAAGGAAAAUGAGAAUGCAUUAAAUGGAAACAUGUUCAAUGAUCUUAAUCAAGUCAAAUGAAAAUGGAUCAAUAUGGACAACUAAUUAUAAAUGAAUCACAUGAUCAUGGUGAAAGAAAAUGGCCUAUAAAAGGCAUACAUCCAUGAAAUUAAAAUAACAUUUUCAAUUUAUAAGAUAAUAAAAAAACCAAAUGAAACGAUUAAAUGGACAAUUAAAGUGAGAUUAAAUCUAAUGAUCGAAAAAUUAACCUAAACAUGAAUUAGGAAUCCAAUUAAUCAAGGCAAAUUAACAUGGAUUAUGGAUCAAAUCAUACAUUUAGAUCACAAAUCAAUAAUUAGAUUAAUCAUGCAAAAAUGAUAAAAUGUUCAAUCAAAAUGGAUUAAAAUCAACAAAAUUCCUAAUGAAAAAUUAUCAACCAAAAGUCAAAUUAAGCACAAUCUCUCAUGGUAAAAAAAAUGAUUAUAGUGAAAAUAUUGUACAAAAAAUAAUAAUCAAGAAAUAUCAUGUAAAAAGAUCAAGAGAACGGUCUACACUCAGGGGGUGUAAUCAAUGGUUCACGCAUGGGCCAAGAGAAAGCCCAUCCCAACAAUCACAUAAAAAUCAGGGGGGUACACAAGCUAACACAUGCAUUGUUAAGCAAUUUGUCCAAAGCCCAAUACAAGAGGGCCCACUAUAAUUUCAGCAUAUGGAGUAAAAUGGGAAACAGAUAAAGCAAACUCAGAAUAAAAACACUCACGUCUCUCUCUCAACUCAUGUUCUGUUACUCCCACCGUCAUGCCAGAGGCGGUCCUCGGCGGCGGAGGCUCUAAAAUAUUUCUCGAAGGCGAAUCGGCGAGUUUCCUGAAGGAAUCCAGAAGUUGAGUUUUUUUUAUGAAUGAAAUCGAGAGAGGAAUUGAGAGGCUGUUUCUGGAUUUAUAGAAUGUAGAGGUUGUUAGAGGGUUGAUGAAUUCAGUUGUGAAAUUCAGUUAGAGUUGUAACUGAAUUCUGUUAGUUUGUUAGGUUUGUUAUUGUUAAUUGUUGAGUUAGUUGGUUUCUGAUUGUAGGUUAAGUGAGGUUAAUUGGAAAAUGAAAUGGAUGAAGUUUAGCUCCAUCCAAUUUCUGUUAGAUGAAACUUGUACAAUCUUAUUAUUGUUACUUGAUAAUUUCCUACUGCAUCAGUUUGUACUUCUUGUGUUAGAUUGGAUGACCGUGUUAUGAACAUUGUUGCAGGCUUUUGUAUUGUUGCUCGAUUGACUGAGUUGUUGGAUUUGCUGUUGAUGAAUGAUGCAGAAGUUUUGGUUUGUCGCUCAUAGUUUGCAAAAGUGAUUUGGUGAAUGUACGCAGGAUCUGCAGGUUGAUGUUGGUUCUGCAAUAUGAAAUUGCAGGAAAUGGUGAAUGGUAAAUUGCAUUGGUGCAUGUUUUGUGUGGUGGCUUUGACUUAAUUUUGGACUGAUAAGGUGUUUGUUGUUUCUGCAGGUUUAGGUCAUGUUACAUGUCCUGGCUUGGUUAAUUGUUGUUAUUAAAUGAUGAGUGUAUGCUGCAGAUAUGUUGCUUCUUCAUAAUGGUUGGCAUCUGGUCUGGUAUGUUCAUGGUUUUGGAGCCCUGAACAUGGUGGUCACCAAGUUGUGGUUGGAUUUGGGUUUUGUAGUUUUAGAACAUAGGAUUAUGUAUGGAAUAUGAUUUAUGGUUGUAAUUUGGAUUUGAAUGAUAUGGUUCAUGUUAAUCAUGGUUGAAUAUUGUAACUUGAAAACAAUGGUUGAAUGAAAUAUUGGAAUUAAUGGCUUAUGUAUAAAAUUGUUUGUAGUUUGAAUGCAAAAUGUAAAAUGAAAUUACAUGGUAUUAGGUCAUGUGUAUCACAAAUUUGAGUUUGGAUUUAGAAUGUAAGGUUGUAUGAUUUUG
rnacentral:lncRNA from 1 species